GGUUCAUUCAAAUUUCUUCCCUAUCAACUUUCGAUGUUUGGGUACUGGCCAAACAUGGUUGCAACGGGUAACGGAGGGUUAGGGCUCGACCCCGGAGAAGGAGCCUGAGAAACGGUACUACAUCCAAGGAAGGCAGCAGGCGCGCAAAUUACCCAAUCCCGACCGGGGAGGUAGUGACAAUAAAUACUGAUACAGGGCUCUUUUGGGUCUUGUAAUUGGAAUGAGUACAAUUUAAAUCCCUUAACGAGGAACAAUUGGAGGGCAAGUCUGGUGCCAGCAGCCGGGUAAUUCCAGCUCCAAUAGCGUAUAUUAAAGUUGUUGCAGUUAAAAAGCUCGUAGUUG
rnacentral:rRNA from 1 species